AGAGCGCAGGGUGGAUGCCUUGGCACUGAGAGCCGAUGAAAGACGUGAUAAGCUGCGAUAAGCUGCGGCAAGAAGCAAAUAUUCAAUGAACCGCAGAUUUCUGAAUGGGGAAACCUGGCUGAGCAAACCUCAGUCGUCCUAUACUGAAUACAUAGGUAUAGGUCGGGAACCUCCUGAACUGAAACAUCUAAGUAGGGAGAGGAAGAGAAAGAAACAUCGAUUCUGUUAGUAGCGGCGAGCGAAAGCGGAAGAGCCCAAACCGGAGUGCGUGCACUCCGGGGUAUGGACUGCAACAUGGCAGUGUUAACGAUAGCAGAAGGGUCUGGGAAGUCCCGCCAAAGAGAGUGAAAGCCUCGUAUGCGAAAUUGAAAACACGCCUAGCAGGAUCCGGAGUACCACGAGACACGAGAAACCUUGUGGGAAGGCGGAGGGACCACCCUCCAAGGCUAAAUACUACUCAGUGACCGAUAGCGCAUAGUACUGUGAAGGAAAGGUGAAAAGGACCCCGGGAGGGGAGUGAAAGAGAACCUGAAACCCUGUGUUUACAAGCUGUGGAACUACGUUAAGGUAGGACCGCGUACUUUUUGUAGAACGGUCCGGCGAGUUUCUUGUACCGGCAAGGUUAAGCACUUAAGGUGCGGAGCCGAAGUGAAAGCAAGUGUUAAUAGCACGCAUAAGUCAGUACAAGAAGACCCGAAACCGGGUGAUCUACCCAUGUCCAGGUUGAAGUCGCCGUAAAAGGCGAUGGAGGACCGAACGCACAUCCGUUGAAAAGGGUGGCGAUGAGGUGUGGGUAGGGGAGAAAUUCCAAUCGAACCCGGAGAUAGCUGGUUCUCCUCGAAAUAGCUUUAGGGCUAGCCUCGUAUUAGUCUUGCGGAGGUAGAGCACUGAAUAUCCUAGGGGGCGUCAAAGCUUACCGAAGAUUAUCAAACUCCGAAUGCCGCGUAGAUGAUGUACGGGAGUCAGACUGCACGAGAUAAGUUGGGUAGUCAAAAGGGAAAGAGCCCAGACCACCAGCUAAGGUCCCAAAGUGCGUGUUAAGUGGAAAAGGAUGUGGGAUUUCGAAGACAACUAGGAUGUUGGCUCAGAAGCAGCCAUACAUUCAAAGAGUGCGUAAUAGCUCACUAGUCGAGAGGUCCUGCGCCGAAAAUGUCCGGGGCUAAAACACGACACCGAAGCUGUGGAUCCGAAAGGAUGGUAGAGGAGCAUUCUUAAGUCGACGAAGCUGUACUGUAAGGAGCAGUGGAGAGUUAAGAAGAGAGAAUGCCGGAAUGAGUAGCGAGAUUUAAGUGAGAAUCUUAAAGGCCGAAUAUCUAAGGUUUCCAGGGUAAAGCUGAUCUUCCCUGGGUAAGUCGGGGCCUAAGGCGAGGGCGAGAGCCGUAGUCGAUGGAUAACAGGUUGAAAUUCCUGUACUGCUUAUGGACAGAACUGUGGGGACGCAGAAGGAGAGCACGAGCCGGAAAUGGAAAAGCCGGUACAAGCGUAUAGCAGUCAUGCAGGCAAAACCGCAUGAAAAAUGUAAAGCGUUAUGUGGAUCGAACAUUAGUAGAGAAGCGUGUGAGCCAGCUGCCAAGAAAAGCCGCUAUUGUUUCAUAAGUACCCGUACCGUAAACCGACACAGGUGGAUGAGGAGAGAAUCCUAAGGCCGGCGGGAGAAGCAUUGUUAAGGAACUCGGCAAAAUGACCCCGUAACUUCGGGAGAAGGGGUGCUCACGCAAGUGAGCCGCAGAGAACUGGCCCAAGCAACUGUUUAGCAAAAACACAGGUCUAUGCAAAACCGAAAGGUGAGGUAUAUGGGCUGACGCCUGCCCGGUGCUGGAAGGUUAAGAGGAGAGGUUAGCGCAAGCGAAGCUUUGAAUUUAAGCCCCAGUAAACGGCGGCCGUAACUAUAACGGUCCUAAGGUAGCGAAAUUCCUUGUCGGGUAAGUUCCGACCCGCACGAAAGGCGUAAUGAUUUGGGCACUGUCUCGACAAUGCACCCGGUGAAAUUGAAAUACCAGUGAAGAUGCUGGUUACCUGCGCCAGGACGGAAAGACCCCAUGGAGCUUUACUCCAGUUUGAUACUGGGAUUCGGUACUGCAUGUACAGGAUAGGUGGGAGGCUAGGAAAUGGUGACGCCAGUUGCCAUGGAGCCAACCUUGGGAUACCACCCUUACAGUACUGGGUUUCUAACCUGCAGCCGUAACCCGGCUGGGGGACAAUGUCUGACGGGGAGUUUGACUGGGGCGGUCGCCUCCGAAAGAGUAUCGGAGGCGCUCAAAGGUUCCCUCAGAAUGGUUGGAAACCAUUCGAAGAGUG
rnacentral:rRNA from 1 species